rnacentral:sRNA from 15 species
GUGAAGGGAUCCCGGCCCUGUUGGACCGGGCUUUCAGUCCUUAGGGUUGAGAGCCGUCUUUACCAGCACCAGCCAUCGCCUAUGAGGAGGUGACCUCGAUGGCUACGUUCCGCACAGGACAGAAGACCCACCAGGCCGUGCUUCCUCAGCGGCCUGCUCUGGA